rnacentral:rRNA from 1 species
UACGUAGGGUGCAAGCGUUGUCCGGAAUUAUUGGGCGUAAAGAGCUCGUAGGUGGCGGGUCACGUCGGGUGUGAAAGCCCGGGGCUUAACCCCGGGUCUGCAUUCGAUACGGGCUUGCUAGGGUCCGGCAGGGGAGACUGGAAUUCCUGGUGUAGCGGUGAAAUGCGCAGAUAUCAGGAGGAACACCGGUGGCGAAGGCGGGUCUCUGGGCCGGUACCGACGCUGGAGGAGCGAAAGCGUGGGGAGCGAACAGG